UACGUAGGGUGCGAGCGUUGUCCGGAAUUAUUGGGCGUAAAGGGCUCGUAGGCGGUUUGUCGCGUCUGCUGUGAAAUUUCGGGGCUCAACCCCGAACUUGCAGUGGGUACGGGCAGACUAGAGUGUGGUAGGGGAGACUGGAAUUCCUGGUGUAGCGGUGAAAUGCGCAGAUAUCAGGAGGAACACCGAUGGCGAAGGCAGGUCUCUGGGCCAUAACUGACGCUGAGAAGCGAAAGCAUGGGGAGCGAACAGG
rnacentral:rRNA from 1 species